rnacentral:rRNA from 1 species
UUGCCGGCGACCGGCGCACGGGUGAGUAACACGUAUGCAACCUGCCCUCUUCAGGGGGACAACCUUCCGAAAGGGAGGCUAAUCCCGCGUAUAUCGGUUUCGGGCAUCCGAGAUCGAGGAAAGAUUCAUCGGAAGAGGAUGGGCAUGCGGCGCAUUAGCUAGACGGCGGGGUAACGGCCCACCGUGGCGACGAUGCGUAGGGGUUCUGAGAGGAAGGUCCCCCACACUGGUACUGAGACACGGACCAGACUCCUACGGAAGGCAGCAG